AACGUAGGACGCAAGCGUUAUCCGGAGUUACUGGGCGUAAAGGGCGUGUAGGCGGUCUGUUAAGUCUGGCGUGAAAGCUCUCGGCUAAACCGGGAGAGGUCGUUGGAUACUGGCAGACUAGAGGACGGUAGAGGCGUGUGGAAUUCCGGGUGUAGUGGUGAAAUGCGUAGAGAUCCGGAGGAACACCAGUGGCGAAGGCGACACGCUGGGCCGUACCUGACGCUAAAGCGCGACAGCAUGGGGAGCAAACGGG
rnacentral:rRNA from 1 species